UUGCAUGCGUUGAACAGGAGAAGUACAAGAAAGAGGAUUCAAUAGAGAGAACGGGAUAGGUGGAAGCCGUUUGUAGACUCUUCUUGGAAAUGCACCUGGGAGCAACCAAUUGAACACAAUGUCUAUUGCAAGUAGAUUGGUCGGGGGACCCGCCGAUAAAGGGUAUUGAGCGAGAUGGACUCUAGUCUUCUUUGGGGUAGAGUUUGAUUCAUCUAAGCAGAGUGGAACCACGGUAAAAGCACCGUCUCUGCG
rnacentral:ncRNA from 1 species